GUGCUUAUAGGUUUGCUUUGUGUGUAAGUAUGUGUGUACCUGUUCAUAUGUGAUUGUGUUUAGUGUAAUUCUGGGUUUAUGUAAGAGUUUGCAUGCGUGUGAGUGUGUUUGUGUGUGUGUAAUUUCACUUUUGUGUAUUUGUGUGUGUGCUUUUGUUUGUGUGUGUGUGUGUGUGCAUGUGUGUGUGUGUUCUCACCUCCUUUUGACUCUUGUAUCUGUAUUGCCUGCACCUUGGUGCAAGAGAGUGUAGAGGCCAGAAGUCAGUCCAGCUGCUGUUCUUAAGCAGAGAGAGUUUGAGAUGUCUGUGGAUGAAUCCACAGGGACUGCAAGGUUCUGUGGGAAGACAUCUAGUACUUCCCGGAGCAGCUGCAACAGCCAGGACACAUGGAAGUACAAUGGAGGGAGCAUUUGCAGGGAUACAACAUCUACAGACAGUGAGGAGGAGUUACCACCCCU